AACGUCAUACUAAUGCGCCGGCCUCUCCAGAUUCCUGAUUGGUGCAGAUGUCUAAAAGACGUGCAGUACGUGAGGUUAAGCGAUCAUGUGUAUUUCCUUGAGUGGCCAUUUUUGACGAUGGAAAGCUGGAAUAUAUUCAUUGUGGUUACUUUUCAACCCCAGUAACGAGAUUCAGACGAGAGACACGGGCACCACCGUGACUUGUGUUAUACGCUUUAUAUUCGCUUUAUAUUCCUUUUUGUAUUCAUAUGGAUGUCACACAGUGCGUUUAUUUGACCUUGAAAAAGUUGCUCAUAUGCAACGAAACGCGUUGGUGAGACCUGCUUGACUGUGUUAACUCCCUUCCUGUGGACACUCUGGACCUGGACCAAGUCCCCGUUGGAAAUUUCCAUUGGACCAUACAAGGACAUUCCUAUUCCAUCGUGGGAAGCCACUCUCCGCCACACGACGAGGAACAGCCUUUUGCGGACGCAGAUUUGCUUAAAUACCUCUGGAGAUGUUGGUGGUAACUAUGAUCAACGGAUAGGACAUUGGGCCUUACAAAUCAAAGGGGACUUUUAUAGGAACAGGUUCAUUGCACCAGGCACUUUCAUUAAGAUCAUCCGAUAUUGGGAGUUAUGCAACCUAUCAUUCUCUUUAUUGUUUUUAUACAGAGCGUUUAUUUGGUAUUGACCACCCAUAUGCAUUGCAUUUGAUUUUUUAUGCUCAUAUAUAUAUUUCUUAUUAAAUUGUGAAUUUACUUGUGA